UCAUAUGUACAUGCCUAUAGGGUUAAUGCAUCAGAUCCCAUUAGAACUUUGUAGCUAAGCGUGCUUGGAAUAGAGUAGUACUAGGAUGGGUGAUCUCCUUGGAAGUCCUAGUGUUUUACAUUCC
rfam:Picea glauca, whole genome shotgun sequence.